GUGGGGAAUUUUGGACAAUGGGCGCAAGCCUGAUCCAGCAAUGCCGCGUGCAGGAAGAAGGCCUUCGGGUUGUAAACUGCUUUUGUACGGAACGAAACGGUCCGGGUUAAUACCCUGGGCUAAUGACGGUACCGUAAGAAUAAGCACCGGCUAACUACGUGCCAGCAGCCGCGGUAAUACGUAGGGUGCAAGCGUUAAUCGGAAUUACUGGGCGUAAAGCGUGCGCAGGCGGUUUUGUAAGACAGGCGUGAAAUCCCCGGGCUCAACCUGGGAAUUGCGCUUGGGACUGCAAGGCUGGAGUGCGGCAGAGGGGGAUGGAAUUCCGCGUGUAGCAGUGAAAUGCGUAGAUAUGCGGAGGAACACCGAUGGCGAAGGCAAUCCCCUGGGCCUGCACUGACGCUCAUGCACGAAAGCGUGGGGAGCAAACAGGAUUAGAAACCCCAGUAGUCC
rnacentral:rRNA from 1 species